AGUGAACGCUGGCGGCAGGCCUAAUACAUGCAAGUCGAACGGCAGCACAGUGGAGCUUGCUCCAUGGGUGGCGAGUGGCGGACGGGUGAGGAAUACAUGGGAAUCUGCCCAGUCGUGGGGGAUAACGUAGGGAAACUUACGCUAAUACCGCAUGCGCCCUUCGGGGGAAAGCCGGGGACCUUCGGGCCUGGCGCGAUUGGAUGAGCCCAUGUUCGAUUAGCUAGUUGGCGGGGUAAAGGCCCACCAAGGCGACGAUCGAUAGCUGGUCUGAGAGGAUGAUCAGCCACACUGGGACUGAGACACGGCCCAGACUCCUACGGGAGGCAGCAGUAGGGAAUAUUGGACAAUGGGCGCAAGCCCGAUCCAGCCAUGCCGCGUGAGUGAAGAAGGCCCUCGGGUUGUAAAGCUCUUUUGUCCGGGAAGAAAAGCAUCGGGCUAAUACCUCGGUGUUCUGACGGUACCGGAAGAAUAAGCACCGGCUAACUUCGUG
rnacentral:rRNA from 1 species